UACGUAGGGUGCAAGCGUUGUCCGGAAUUAUUGGGCGUAAAGAGCUCGUAGGCGGUCUGUCGCGUCGGCUGUGAAAACCCGGAGCUCAACUCCGGGCCUGCAGUCGAUACGGGCAGACUGGAGUUCGGCAGGGGAGACUGGAAUUCCUGGUGUAGCGGUGAAAUGCGCAGAUAUCAGGAGGAACACCGGUGGCGAAGGCGGAUCUCUGGGCCGUAACUGACGCUGAGGAGCGAAAGCAUGGGGAGCGAACAGG
rnacentral:rRNA from 1 species